rnacentral:rRNA from 1 species
ACGUAGGACGCAAGCGUUAUCCGGAAUUACUGGGCGUAAAGGGCGUGCAGGCGGUUGGGCAAGUCUUCUGUGAAAGCACCUGGCUAAACCGGGUGAGUGCAGGGGAUACUUCCCGACUAGAGGACGGUAGAGGGGCAUAGAAUUCCGGGUGUAGUGGUGAAAUGCGUAGAUAUCCGGAGGAAUACCAGAGGCGAAGGCGAUGCCCUGGGCCGCACCUGACGCUAAGACGCGACAGCAUGGGGAGCGAACGGGA